GACGGACGUUGGCGGCGUGCUUAACACAUGCAAGUCGAACGGAAAGGCCCUGCUUUUGUGGGGUGCUCGAGUGGCGAACGGGUGAGUAACACGUGAGUAACCUGCCCUUGACUUUGGGAUAACUUCAGGAAACUGGGGCUAAUACCGGAUAGGAGCUCCUGCUGCAUGGUGGGGGUUGGAAAGUUUCGGCGGUUGGGGAUGGACUCGCGGCUUAUCAGCUUGUUGGUGGGGUAGUGGCUUACCAAGGCUUUGACGGGUAGCCGGCCUGAGAGGGUGACCGGCCACAUUGGGACUGAGAUACGGCCCAGACUCCUACGGGAGGCAGCAGUGGGGAAUAUUGCACAAUGGGCGGAAGCCUGAUGCAGCAACGCCGCGUGCGGGAUGACGGCCUUCGGGUUGUAAACCGCUUUCGCCUGUGACGAAGCGUGAGUGACGGUAAUGGGUAAAGAAGCACCGGCUAACUACGUGCCAGCAGCCGCGGUGAUACGUAGGGUGCGAGCGUUGUCCGGAUUUAUUGGGCGUAAAGGGCUCGUAGGUGGUUGAUCGCGUCGGAAGUGUAAUCUUGGGGCUUAACCCUGAGCGUGCUUUCGAUACGGGUUGACUUGAGGAAGGUAGGGGAGAAUGGAAUUCCUGGUGGAGCGGUGGAAUGCGCAGAUAUCAGGAGGAACACCAGUGGCGAAGGCGGUUCUCUGGGCCUUUCCUGACGCUGAGGAGCGAAAGCGUGGGGAGCGAACAGGCUUAGAUACCCUGGUAGUCCACGCUGUAAACGGUGGGUACUAGGUGUGGGGUCCAUUCCACGGGUUCCGUGCCGUAGCUAACGCUUUAAGUACCCCGCCUGGGGAGUACGGCCGCAAGGCUAAAACUCAAAGGAAUUGACGGGGCCCCGCACAAGCGGCGGAGCAUGCGGAUUAAUUCGAUGCAACGCGUAGAACCUUACCUGGGUUUGACAUGGAUCGGGAGUGCUCAGAGAUGGGUGUGCCUCUUUUGGGGUCGGUUCACAGGUGGUGCAUGCCUGUCGUCAGCUCGUGUCGUGAGAUGUUGGGUUAAGUCCCGCAACGAGCGCAACCCUUGUUCACUGUUGCCAGCACGUUAUGGUGGGGACUCAGUGGAGACCGCCGGGGUCAACUCGGAGGAAGGUGGGGAUGACGUCAAGUCCUCAUGCCCCUUAUGUCCAGGGCUUCACGCAUGCUACAAUGGCUGGUACAGAGAGUGGCGAGCCUGUGAGGGUGAGCGAAUCUCGGAAAGCCGGUCUCAGUUCGGAUUGGGGUCUGCAACUCGACCUCAUGAAGUCGGAGUCGCCAGUAAUCGCAGAUCAGCAACGCUGCGGUGAAUACGUUCCCGGGGCU
rnacentral:rRNA from 1 species